UACGAAGGUGGCAAGCGUUGUUCGGAAUUACUGGGCGUAAAGGGCUCGUAGGUGGCCAACUAAGUCAGACGUGAAAUCCCUCAGCUUAACUGGGGAACUGCGUCUGAUACUGGAUGGCUUGAGUUUGGGAGAGGGAUGCGGAAUUCCAGGUGUAGCGGUGAAAUGCGUAGAUAUCUGGAGGAACACCGGUGGCGAAGGCGGCAUCCUGGACCAACACUGACACUGAUGAGCGAAAGCCAGGGGAGCAAACGGG
rnacentral:rRNA from 1 species